AAUGUUGUUUUUUUUAUGAAAACGCCGCAAAAGACUAAUAAUUUUUGAUUACCCGCCCAUUCCCUCUUCUUCCCAUUUCUAUCGCGUGCCCUAAACCUUUUACUAUGAAAAUUUGCAUAAAAUCUUUUUUGCGUGUGUAUGAACUAAUUUUUUUUGUCAAUAAAUGAAAUUCUUUGAAGAUAAUACAAUCUUUUAUAAAAAUUUAUUUCCGAAUUAGGGCUCUUGAUUUCUUUCUCUGUCAGCAAAUUGGUCGAAUUUUAUUUUUGUUUUUAUUUGAAGUUGAAGGAAAAGCAUAGCAUUUGGCGUACAAGUGAUAACUCACAAUUUUCUUAUGUAUUUAGUUCCCUACUUUUUUAAGCCAACCAUUUUGCUUCAGAAUCUCUUUGCGUUGGGAACCUUUUCAAAGUUCUUACGCUUUUUUGGCCUCUGAUAUUUGCCCAGAUCCAUUUUGCAGCACUUGAUUCUGUUUCAGAUUGAGCCAAACUACUUUCUGCAUUAGUAGUCAUCAAAAGAACUCUGUUUUGAGCAAAUUGGAAGUAAUAUUGACAUGUCCUUUCUCGGUUCAGUGCUUUAGUUAUUGAAUUUCUUAAGCUUGAAUAAAAGGUUAGAGGGAACUGAGAUGGACAUUGGAGCUCUUUUAACUUCUGCCGGAAUCAAUAUAGCUAUAUAUGUUGUGCUGUUGUCUUUGUAUUCCAUACUGAGGAAACAGCCAAGCAAUGUUAGUGUGUACUUCAUGCGGAAGCUUAUUUCAGAACCAAUAAAGCAUAGUGAUCCUUUUCACUUUGAGAGACUUGUUCCCUCUGCUAGUUGGAUCGUGAGGGCCUGGCAAGCGACCAAUGAAGAAAUAUUGGCUUCUCUGCAUCAUCCUUUGUUACUGCUAUUACAGAUGCUCUGAAUCGUACUUAUGGAAAUUCUCAUAAUUGUUUGAGAAACCUUCCAAGUCAGUAUAUCAAUACCCUUCUGGUGCCCAAAGAUGGUGAAAUACCCAUAGACAUCCAAAGUUUAUCUUCACAAGGAAUCUUUGACGUGGUCAUUGUUAACUCCAUACAUGACCCAAAAGUGGGCACAAUUUUUGAUCCAGUCUCAUUGAUAAAUGCUCUUGGCAAUAGGACUUUGUAUUUAUGUAGGGAAAUACCAUUUUUAUUUAAAGCAUUUUUGCCAAUCUUUUGUACGUAAUUAAAGAGUGAGGUGUUUGAGGUUUAUCAUUCACUUUCAUGUCUUGAUAAAAUAUAGUUUGGGGUGGAAUUGAGCAAAGGCUUCAGAACUGUGAUUUCGAGUUGAGUUAUGCAUUGGCUUUCUCAAACGUUCUCGCCAGCAAAAGGAAAUUACAAGGGAACAAGCAGUUCAAGAUCUGAAGUUUGUUGAGAAGGAUUAUAAGUUAGCUGAUACGGUUAUUAGAGGGUUGUUGAAGUAUUGGCCUUUGACUAAUUGUCAGAAGGAAGUUCUCUUCCUCGGGGAACUUGAGGAAGUACUUGAAGCAACACAGUUUGUGGAGUUCCAACGAUGCAUGGUUCCGCUUUUCUGACAGAUUGCACGUUGCCUCAAUAGCUUACAUUUCCAGCGUAUAACUAUUCCUGAAAUUCUACAAGAUGAAUGGUUCAAGAAAGGGUACAAGCCACCAAAAUUUGAGCAAGAUGAGGAUGUAAAUCUUGAUGAUAAUAUCUUAUAUUUUACAUGGUUAUGAUUUAAGUCCUUAUUUCAUUGAUUUAUUUAUAUUUAAUCUAAUUUUAUUAUUUAUUUUAGUUUUGAUUCUAAAUUUUUAUUUUAAUAUUUUUAGUUAAAAUUUUAAUAGAAAAUUUUUAUAUUUAUAUCA